UUUUAGAGUUUGAUUCCCCGCUCAGGACGAACGCUGGCGGCGUGCCUAAUACAUGCAAGUCGUACGCUUCUUUUUCCACCGGAGCUUGCUCCACCGGAAAAAGAAGAGUGGCGAACGGGUGAGUAACACGUGGGUAACCUGCCCAUCAGAAGGGGAUAACACUUGGAAACAGGUGCUAAUACCGUAUAACAAUCGAAACCGCAUGGUUUUGAUUUGAAAGGCGCUUUCGGGUGUCGCUGAUGGAUGGACCCGCGGUGCAUUAGCUAGUUGGUGAGGUAACGGCUCACCAAGGCCACGAUGCAUAGCCGACCUGAGAGGGUGAUCGGCCACAUUGGGACUGAGACACGGCCCAAACUCCUACGGGAGGCAGCAGUAGGGAAUCUUCGGCAAUGGACGAAAGUCUGACCGAGCAACGCCGCGUGAGUGAAGAAGGUUUUCGGAUCGUAAAACUCUGUUGUUAGAGAAGAACAAGGAUGAGAGUAACUGUUCAUCCCUUGACGGUAUCUAACCAGAAAGCCACGGCUAACUACGUGCCAGCAGCCGCGGUAAUACGUAGGUGGCAAGCGUUGUCCGGAUUUAUUGGGCGUAAAGCGAGCGCAGGCGGUUUCUUAAGUCUGAUGUGAAAGCCCCCGGCUCAACCGGGGAGGGUCAUUGGAAACUGGGAGACUUGAGUGCAGAAGNUGAGA
rnacentral:rRNA from 1 species